rnacentral:rRNA from 1 species
UGCCAGCCGCCGCGGUAAUACGAAGGGAGCUAGCGUUGUUCGGAAUUACUGGGCGUAAAGCGCGCGUAGGCGGAUUGAUCAGUCAGGGGUGAAAUCCCGGGGCUCAACCCCGGAACUGCCUUUGAUACUGCUAGUCUUGAGUUCGAGAGAGGUGAGUGGAAUUCCGAGUGUAGAGGUGAAAUUCGUAGAUAUUGGGAAGAACACCAGUGGCGAAGGCGGCUAACUGGCUCGGUACUGACGCUGAGAUGCGAAAGCGUGGGGAGCAAACAGGAUUAGAUA